CUCCUUGUCAAAAUAUCUACACACAUGAAUGCAUCUUAAGGUUGUUGGUGUUCACAAGCCAUUUUUAGUUGCGCUGUUUCGGUUCACGAUUGCACGAUCGUUUCCGCCCUUUGAUUUCUAUUAGAGUACUCUCCCCCAAUACAGAUAUAACUAGCAGAACAAGAAAGUUCAAUACAGGCUUUUGACCAUGCUGGGAAGAUUCCAUCUCAGGGUUAAGCAAGGGGCAACCAUAGCCGCUGAAAUGAUACAUCAAAGGUGGCCUGAGGAGGCUUACUGGCGACGGCAGGCCUGGUUCCAUCAGGGUGCUCAUGUUCGUCGUUCUGAAAGGAGCGGAAGAGGCGCUGGCAGAGGUCUGCUGGGAAAUCCUCCACUUCCAGCAGAGUCUUGAGGAAGAGUCGAAAACCUUCCUCGGUGAUGCACUGCGUGAGAGGGAGGGAGCAGGAGGGGGAGAAGGAGCACAGACUAAACUACUGCCGAGCCCGAAUAAAGGCUGCAGCUUCCUUGUUGAUGGAGUGGCUCUGGAACAAGGCCCAUGUGCUGGUGAACGUGAAAACACUCUACACAACCUCUCUGCCACUGAGAGUAUCCAGAGCACAACAGAAGAACGGAUGAUUCACUACCCCACUCCACCAGGGACAUCGCAGUCAGUGUUACCAAAGAGUCUCUCUGGCCUAAACACUGGCCAUUUUCAGUUAAAAUAAUUACAAUUAAAUGAAAAACCAGAAUCCGGCGGAAGGAAAAAAUGACUUAAAUGAUCGAAUUAGUGAUUAGUGGCUUUUGGAGUGGAAAACAUGAAAAAGUGCUUUUUUUUAAUGAAUCCAUUCAGUAUAGUAUAUCAGAUUAAUAUCGCAGGUUUCACACAGUUCAUCCUAAUACAAUAAAGCAACUGUUUAACUCAGAGGUCUUUCAGCGUGUGAUGG